GUCGUAUUGAAGCGUUUGCGUGAGAACAUCUGUUGAAAACAGUCGGAAUUACCGAAGAGCAAUUUACUGAUUUUACGCGAUGAUAAUGCACCAUCGUAUCGAGUCACGAUUGUGACCGAAUUUAAAGCCAAAAUCGCAACGAAUACCAUCGACCAACCACUGUGAUGAUCACUAGAUUUCGUUCUGUGUCAUUUUUUCUUUCUGUUAGCUUAUGACAAUGCACACACUUUCUCUUAACCUACGUUCUCUGCUAAGUCUUAUUCAAUUUAACGAACACUCCAACACACAAAAAAGUGAGAUCAAUAUUGAAGUUCUGGUAUUUAAUUGAAUAAGCGAUAAGCAAAAUUAUUGAGAGUUUUCGAAAUGUUUUGACCUGUUUAUAAUUUUGAAGCGAAACUCACGACUUUAAGAAUGAUUAUAGCACCUUAAGUUACCCAUAGGAGGAGAGCUAAGUCAUGAAAAAUUAAGUAUAAAAUAAAUAUUAUUUAUAACCAGCGCUAACUAAAAGAGAUUGCGAGCAGUAUAUGUAUAAGACAACGCAGUCGGUUUAAAAUAUUCAUUUCGUGAAGUUCGACAAUUGGGUGCUAAGUGAAAUUACGCAAUUUAAAACAAUGAAAUUGAUCGCAUUAAUUAUUUUCGCCUUACUCAGCCUGGGACAAUGUAGACCAAUGCCCGAUUAUUAUGAAGAUACAACAUAUUAUCGUGAAAUGGUACCGAGAGAUGGUUUGUUUCGUACGGUGAUGCGACCACAUAAUAAGUAUAAUCGUCCAGACGUUCUAAUUGACAAUUCGUCGAAUUGGCCACAAGGAUAUAAUAAUCCCUCAUAUCAAUCGCUCCAAUAUCCAUUUACUUUUUAUAAUAAAUAAAAACAAAAUGCAAAUAUUUAUGUAUGUCAAAAUAAAGAAUGUUAGCGAGAAAUGAAAAAACAUAGAAAAA